rnacentral:rRNA from 1 species
AGUGAACGCUGGCGGUAGGCCUAACACAUGCAAGUCGAACGGCAGCACAGUAAGAGCUUGCUCUUACGGGUGGCGAGUGGCGGACGGGUGAGGAAUACAUCGGAAUCUACUUUUUCGUGGGGGAUAACGUAGGGAAACUUAAGCUAAUACAGCAUACGACCUACGGGUGAAAGCAGGGGAACUUCGGACCUUGCGCGAUUGAAUGAGCCGAUGUCGGAUUAGCUAGUUGGCGGGGUAAAGGCCCACCAAGGCGACGAUCCGUAGCUGGUCUGAGAGGAUGAUCAGCCACACUGGAACUUAGACACGCUCCAGACUCCUACGGGAGGCAGCAGUGGGGAAUAUUGGACAAUGGGCGCAAGCCUGAUCCAGCCAUACCGCGUGUGUGAAGAAGGCCUUCGGGUUGUAAAGCCCUUUUGUUGGGAAAGAAAAGCAGCAGGUUAAUACCCCGCUGUUCUGACGGUACCCAAAGAAUAAGCACCGGCUAACUUCGUG